CAACUUUCAACAACGGAUCUCUUGGCUCUCGCAUCGAUGAAGAACGCAGCGAAAUGCGAUAAGUAAUGUGAAUUGCAGAAUUCAGUGAAUCAUCGAAUCUUUGAACGCACCUUGCGCCCCUUGGUAUUCCGAGGGGCACGCCUGUUCGAGUGUCGUGAAAUUCUCAACUCAAUCCUCUUGUUAUGAGAGGGCUGGGCUUGGACUUGGAGGUCUUGCCGGUGCUCCCUCGGGAAGUCGGCUCCUCUUGAAUGCAUG
rnacentral:rRNA from 2 species